GAUGAAGAACGUAGCGAAAUGCGAUACGUAAUGUGAAUUGCAGAAUUCAGUGAAUCAUCGAAUCUUUGAACGCAUAUUGCGCUCUCUGGUAUUCCGGAGAGCAUGCUUGUUUGAGUAUCAGUAAACACCUCAACUUCCAUAUCUUUUUUGAAAUGGGAGUUGGACUUGAGUGAUCCCAACGCUUUUCCUCACCGAAAAGUGGCGGGUUACUUGAAAUGCAGGUGCAGCUGGACUUUUCUCUGAGCUAUAAGCAUAUCUAUUUAGUCUGCCUAAAAAACAGAUUAUUACCUUUGCUGCAGCUAACAUAAAGGAGAUUAGUUCUUGUGCUGACUGAUGCAGUAUUCACAAAGACGGCUUCGACCGACUUUGUAAACUCGAUCUCAAAUCAAGUAAGACUACACGCUGAACUUAAGCAUAUCAAUAAGCGGAGGA
rnacentral:misc_RNA from 1 species